rnacentral:rRNA from 1 species
GACGAACGCUGGCGGCGUGCUUAACACAUGCAAGUCGAACGGAAAGGCCCUGCUUUUGUGGGGUGCUCGAGUGGCGAACGGGUGAGUAACACGUGAGCAACCUGCCCUUGACUUUGGGAUAACUUCAGGAAACUGGGGCUAAUACCGGAUAGGAGCUCCUGCUGCAUGGUGGGGGUUGGAAAGUUUCGGCGGUUGGGGAUGGACUCGCGGCUUAUCAGCUUGUUGGUGGGGUAGUGGCUUACCAAGGCUUUGACGGGUAGCCGGCCUGAGAGGGUGACCGGCCACAUUGGGACUGAGAUACGGCCCAGACUCCUACGGGAGGCAGCAGUGGGGAAUAUUGCACAAUGGGCGGAAGCCUGAUGCAGCAACGCCGCGGGCGGGAUGACGGCCUUCGGGUUGUAAACCGCUUUCGCCUGUGACGAAGCGUGAGUGAAGGUAAUGGGUAAAGAAGCACCGGCUAACUACGUGC